rnacentral:rRNA from 1 species
GGUUAAGCGACUAAGCGUACACGGUGGAUGCCCUGGCAGUCAGAGGCGAUGAAGGACGUGCUAAUCUGCGAUAAGCGUCGGUAAGGUGAUAUGAACCGUUAUAACCGGCGAUUUCCGAAUGGGGAAACCCAGUGUGAUUCGUCACACUAUCAUUAACUGAAUCCAUAGGUUAAUGAGGCGAACCGGGGGAACUGAAACAUCUAAGUACCCCGAGGAAAAGAAAUCAACCGAGAUUCCCCCAGUAGCGGCGAGCGAACGGGGAGCAGCCCAGAGCCUGAAUCAGUGUGUGUGUUAGUGGAAGCGUCUGGAAAGGCGUGCGAUACAGGGUGACAGCCCCGUACACAAAAAUGCACAUACUGUGAGCUCGAUGAGUAGGGCGGGACACGUGGUAUCCUGUCUGAAUAUGGGGGGACCAUCCUCCAAGGCUAAAUACUCCUGACUGACCGAUAGUGAACCAGUACCGUGAGGGAAAGGCGAAAAGAACCCCGGCGAGGGGAGUGAAAAAGAACCUGAAACCGUGUACGUACAAGCAGUGGGAGCACGCUUAGGCGUGUGACUGCGUACCUUUUGUAUAAUGGGUCAGCGACUUAUAUUCUGUAGCAAGGUUAACCGAAUAGGGGAGCCGAAGGGAAACCGAGUCUUAACUGGGCGUUAAGUUGCAGGGUAUAGACCCGAAACCCGGUGAUCUAGCCAUGGGCAGGUUGAAGGUUGGGUAACACUAACUGGAGGACCGAACCGACUAAUGUUGAAAAAUUAGCGGAUGACUUGUGGCUGGGGGUGAAAGGCCAAUCAAACCGGGAGAUAGCUGGUUCUCCCCGAAAGCUAUUUAGGUAGCGCCUCGUGAAUUCAUCUCCGGGGGUAGAGCACUGUUUCGGCAAGGGGGUCAUCCCGACUUACCAACCCGAUGCAAACUGCGAAUACCGGAGAAUGUUAUCACGGGAGACACACGGCGGGUGCUAACGUCCGUCGUGAAGAGGGAAACAACCCAGACCGCCAGCUAAGGUCCCAAAGUCAUGGUUAAGUGGGAAACGAUGUGGGAAGGCCCAGACAGCCAGGAUGUUGGCUUAGAAGCAGCCAUCAUUUAAAGAAAGCGUAAUAGCUCACUGGUCGAGUCGGCCUGCGCGGAAGAUGUAACGGGGCUAAACCAUGCACCGAAGCUGCGGCAGCGACGCUUAUGCGUUGUUGGGUAGGGGAGCGUUCUGUAAGCCUGUGAAGGUGUGCUGUGAGGUAUGCUGGAGGUAUCAGAAGUGCGAAUGCUGACAUAAGUAACGAUAAAGCGGGUGAAAAGCCCGCUCGCCGGAAGACCAAGGGUUCCUGUCCAACGUUAAUCGGGGCAGGGUGAGUCGACCCCUAAGGCGAGGCCGAAAGGCGUAGUCGAUGGGAAACAGGUUAAUAUUCCUGUACUUGGUGUUACUGCGAAGGGGGGACGGAGAAGGCUAUGUUGGCCGGGCGACGGUUGUCCCGGUUUAAGCGUGUAGGCUGGUUUUCCAGGCAAAUCCGGAAAAUCAAGGCCGAGGCGUGAUGACGAGGCACUACGGUGCUGAAGCAACAAAUGCCCUGCUUCCAGGAAAAGCCUCUAAGCAUCAGGUAACAUCAAAUCGUACCCCAAACCGACACAGGUGGUCAGGUAGAGAAUACCAAGGCGCUUGAGAGAACUCGGGUGAAGGAACUAGGCAAAAUGGUGCCGUAACUUCGGGAGAAGGCACGCUGAUACGUAGGUGAAGCGACUUGCUCGUGGAGCUGAAAUCAGUCGAAGAUACCAGCUGGCUGCAACUGUUUAUUAAAAACACAGCACUGUGCAAACACGAAAGUGGACGUAUACGGUGUGACGCCUGCCCGGUGCCGGAAGGUUAAUUGAUGGGGUUAGCGCAAGCGAAGCUCUUGAUCGAAGCCCCGGUAAACGGCGGCCGUAACUAUAACGGUCCUAAGGUAGCGAAAUUCCUUGUCGGGUAAGUUCCGACCUGCACGAAUGGCGUAAUGAUGGCCAGGCUGUCUCCACCCGAGACUCAGUGAAAUUGAACUCGCUGUGAAGAUGCAGUGUACCCGCGGCAAGACGGAAAGACCCCGUGAACCUUUACUAUAGCUUGACACUGAACAUUGAGCCUUGAUGUGUAGGAUAGGUGGGAGGCUUUGAAGUGUGGACGCCAGUCUGCAUGGAGCCGACCUUGAAAUACCACCCUUUAAUGUUUGAUGUUCUAACGUGGACCCGUGAUCCGGGUUGCGGACAGUGUCUGGUGGGUAGUUUGACUGGGGCGGUCUCCUCCUAAAGAGUAACGGAGGAGCACGAAGGUUGGCUAAUCCUGGUCGGACAUCAGGAGGUUAGUGCAAUGGCAUAAGCCAGCUUGACUGCGAGCGUGACGGCGCGAGCAGGUGCGAAAGCAGGUCAUAGUGAUCCGGUGGUUCUGAAUGGAAGGGCCAUCGCUCAACGGAUAAAAGGUACUCCGGGGAUAACAGGCUGAUACCGCCCAAGAGUUCAUAUCGACGGCGGUGUUUGGCACCUCGAUGUCGGCUCAUCACAUCCUGGGGCUGAAGUAGGUCCCAAGGGUAUGGCUGUUCGCCAUUUAAAGUGGUACGCGAGCUGGGUUUAGAACGUCGUGAGACAGUUCGGUCCCUAUCUGCCGUGGGCGCUGGAGAACUGAGGGGGGCUGCUCCUAGUACGAGAGGACCGGAGUGGACGCAUCACUGGUGUUCGGGUUGUCAUGCCAAUGGCACUGCCCGGUAGCUAAAUGCGGAAGAGAUAAGUGCUGAAAGCAUCUAAGCACGAAACUUGCCCCGAGAUGAGUUCUCCCUGACCCUUUAAGGGUCCUGAA